AACGUAGGAGGCAAGCGUUAUCCGGAGUUACUGGGCGUAAAGCGCGUGUAGGUGGGCGAGUAAGUUACUUAUGAAAGCUCUGGGCUAAACUCGGAGAGGUUAAGUGAUACUGCUUGUCUUGAGGGGAUGAGAGGUAAGUGGAAUUCCGCGUGUAGUGGUGAAAUGCGUAGAUAUGCGGAGGAACACCAGUGGCGAAGGCGACUUACUGGCAUCUUACUGACACUCAGACGCGAAAGCAUGGGUAGCGAACGGG
rnacentral:rRNA from 1 species